CCUACGGGUGGCAGCAGUGAGGAAUAUUGGUCAAUGGACGAGAGUCUGAACCAGCCAAGUAGCGUGAAGGAUGACUGCCCUAUGGGUUGUAAACUUCUUUUAUAUGGGAAUAAAAUGUUCCACGUGUGGGCUUUUGUAUGUACCAUAUGAAUAAGGAUCGGCUAACUCCGUGCCAGCAGCCGCGGUAAUCCGGAGGAUCCGAGCGUUAUCCGGAUUUAUUGGGUUUAAAGGGAGCGUAGGUGGAGUGUUAAGUCAGUUGUGAAAGUUUGCGGCUCAACCGUAAAAUUGCAGUUGAAACUGGCAGUCUUGAGUACAGUAGAGGUGGGCGGAAUGCGUGGUGUAGCGGUGAAAUGCUUAGAUAUCACGAAGAACUCCGAUUGCGAAGGCAGCUCACUGGACUGCAACUGACACUGAGGCUCGAAAGUGUGGGUAUCAAACAGGAUUAGAUACCCUUGUAGUC
rnacentral:rRNA from 1 species